AUUGAACGCUGGCGGCAGGCCUAACACAUGCAAGUCGAGCGGAUGAAGGGAGCUUGCUCCUGGAUUCAGCGGCGGACGGGUGAGUAAUGCCUAGGAAUCUGCCUGGUAGUGGGGGAUAACGUCCGGAAACGGGCGCUAAUACCGCAUACGUCCUGAGGGAGAAAGUGGGGGAUCUUCGGAACUCACGCUAUCAGAUGAGCUUAGGUCGGAUUAGCUAGUUGGUGGGGUAAAGGCCUACCAAGGCGACGAUCCGUAACUGGUCUGAGAGGAUGAUCAGUCACACUGGAACGGAGACACGGUCCAGACUCCUACGGGAGGCAGCAGUGGGGAAUAUUGGACAAUGGGCGAAAGCCUGAUCCAGCCAUGCCGCGUGUGUGAAGAAGGUCUUCGGAUUGUAAAGCACUUUAAGUUGGGAGGAAGGGCAGUAAGUUAAUACCUUGCUGUUUUGACGGUACCAACAGAAUAAGCACCGGCUAACUUCGUG
rnacentral:rRNA from 1 species